rnacentral:lncRNA from 1 species
UUUGUCUUUUGCAGAAUUUUUAUUCACUGGGUUUUUCUACUGCUUCCAAGUGACUUGACAUGUAGGAAGUCUGCAUUAUCAUGUAAGCAUUCAAAUAUUAUAUUAUUGUUACUGACACUUAUUUUAUAGUCACAUGAAGUGAUAUGAAAGCUAUUUAAAGAUUAAUUGCUUAUGAGUUUAGAUUAAUCUAUUUGUUAAGAAAGUAAACAAACAUGGCAAUUAUUUUAUUACAAACAUGUAAGUUUACUAUUGGUUUUACCAACCACUGCUUAUAGGCUAUUAAGCUUACUCAAAUUUGAUUAUAUUGAAGUUCUCUUUUUGUAUCAGAAUAAGAAUAAGAUAAUUUUAUGUUCAAAAUAUUAAUAACAGGGCACAUUAAGAGCAUAUAUUAUAUAAAUCAAGUGCAAUGAUUGAAGUAAUAGAUAUUAUGCAUAUAUAUAGCAAUGCAAUGGGGCUUAUAAAUUAAUUAUAUUGUGUAUAAUAAUAAUAUUAAUUUUUUUUGCAGGAUUUUAAGAUGAAUGAGAAACAAUGGCUACUUCCAAUACAAUAGCACAUUUGAUAAAAUGAAUAAGACACAAGGACUGCACUUUUCAUUCUAAGGAAGAUCAACAAAUGAAACCCAAACAAGGAUAUUAUUUUCAUAUCAGAUUCCUGUACAUGAGAUAUAAAG